rnacentral:rRNA from 1 species
AAACUUUACAAUGCAGGCAACUGCGAUAAGGGGACAUCGAGUGGCACGCAUCAUGGGUCUGUCCACCGUACGGGUGUAGCAAGGGCCGGCAAGACCGGUGCCAGCCGCCGCGGUAAUACCGGCGGCUCGAGUGGUGGCCGAUAUUAUUGAGUCUAAAGGGUCCGUAGCCGGCUUAGUAGUCUUUUGGGAAAUCCAGCGACUUAAUCGUUGGGCUCCAUGAGAUACUGCUUUGCUUGGGACUGGGAGAGGUAGGAGGUACUCAAGGGGUAGAGUGAAAUCCUGUAAUCCUUGGGGGACCACCGGGUGCGAAGGCGUCCUACCAGAACAGUCCGACGGUGAGGGACGAAAGCAGGGGGCACGAACCGGAUUAGAUACCCGGGUAGUCCCAGCUGUAAACGAUGCAGACUCGGUGUGUGGCCAGUGCA